UACGAAGGGGGGCGAGCGUUGUUCGGAUUUACUGGGCGUAAAGGGCGCGCAGGCGGCGCAUUUUGUCAGGCGUGAAAGCCCCGGGCUUAACCUGGGAACUGCGUUUGAUACGGAUGGGCUAGAGUUCGGGAGAGGAGAGUGGAAUUCCCAAUGUAGAGGUGAAAUUCGUAGAUAUUCGCAAGAACACCAGUGGCGAAGGCGGCUCACUGGCCCGAUACUGACGCUGAGGCACGGAAAGCGUGGGGAGCAAACAGG
rnacentral:rRNA from 1 species